AGGGUGUUUGGGCGCAAGGGGGUUUGGCAGAGAGGGUGUUUGGGGGCAAGGGCAUCUGGGAGUGGAGGCGUUUGAAGAUAAAGUACCUGAUCCCAUCAGACCAUAACUUGCAGGACUCCAGGGGAAGUCCGCCAGGGACGGCAGGCAAGAGGCUGAGCUCUGGUGCUGAGCACUUCACUGCCCGGGAAGGACCCGGGGCCCCACAGUUCCCACAGAGCACCCACCCUCCAGGAGUUUCUGGCACCACGUCAGCGCUUGCCCGUGGUGUGGAAGAGGGGACAGCAGACUCUAGAAAAAUCUCCCUGGCUUGUGUUUUGUUAGUUUUGGUGUUACGUUCCCCAGUAAAGAGUAGUGCCUUUCUCUGUCCCUUUUACUUAGCCAUCAUUCACUUCUGGGGGUCUUCAAAUGCUAUAAAAUAUACAGCAUUUCAAGAGGUAUCUUUGCUGCUGAUGUGUAGAAAGAGCAAUAGCACAAAGACAAUUUAAAAAAUCAUUAUAUAGAAAAGGUGAUUUACUUACACUGUUAUACAGUGAAGAUAUAAUGCUUAGUGACAGCAUGCCAGUCAUCAAAGAAGUUUCCAAUACAUUUUCCCCUGUGACUGUCAGUACGAUAAUGAUCGUCMUCCCUAUAGCCAACUGCCUCUGCUUUGAAACCAAAUCUACAGCUUGUACAUUAUUGUAUCCUAACUGUUGUGUCUGUCUUUGGAAAGGUGCUCGUUCUGCAAAGGAUCACCGGUUUGGACCCCCAGACCAGCACUAAGUCUCAGUAAUACCUUGUAAAGCCCUUGUUAGUUCUUGGGAUAAGGUUCUCUCUUUUUCUUUGUAUACUGUGAGCACAAAGAAAAAUAACAAAAAAGAAGUAUACAUACUUUAUACAUUACACUGAUAUGGACUCUUUCAGUCAGUAAGAAUACAGGAUUUCAGAACUGCAGUUAUUUGUAAACCAUUUUACACUAAAAUACUGAGAAGUUCAUCGGCCAUGGUCAUUAGUCAGUCAGAGCAGAUGACUUGCCAUGCAGGCCGUGGAGGUAGUCUUGAGUACUUGGCAGCUCGCAGGCCACUCUGUAUAGUUUGACAUCACUCCCAUAGCUCAUACACCAAAACAAACCCCACUAUUCAGUUUUUAAUGAUGACCCCAGCCCUUAUGUCCUAUUUCUUGUUGUUUCUUCAAGCAUCAUUUUGGGAGUAAUUUCUAGUUUCUGCCUUCUCCCCUCUCAAAGGUUAUGUUAUUUGUUUAUAAUUAUAUUUUUAUUUUAUGUUCUCAAUAAACAAAUUGUCUCUGC
rnacentral:lncRNA from 1 species